GAGGAAAAGAAACCAACAGGGAUUGCCCCAGUAACGGCGAGUGAAGCGGCAACAGCUCAAAUUUGAAAUCUGGCCCCAGGCCCGAGUUGUAAUUUGCAGAGGAUGCUUUUGGCGCGGUGCCUUCCGAGUUCCCUGGAACGGGACGCCAUAGAGGGUGAGAGCCCCGUACGGUUGGACACCAAGCCUUUGUAAAGCUCCUUCGACGAGUCGAGUAGUUUGGGAAUGCUGCUCUAAAUGGGAGGUACAUUUCUUCUAAAGCUAAAUAUUGGCCAGAGACCGAUAGCGCACAAGUAGAGUGAUCGAAAGAUGAAAAGCACUUUGAAAAGAGGGUUAAACAGCACGUGAAAUUGUUAAAAGGGAAGCGCUUGUGACCAGACUUGCGUCCGGUGAAUCACCCAGCUCUCGCGGCUGGGGCACUUCGCCGGCACAGGCCAGCAUCAGCUUGCCGUCGGGGACAAAAGCUUCAGGAACGUGGCUCCUCUCGGGGAGUGUUAUAGCCUGUUGCAUAAUACCCUUCGGCGGGCUGAGGUACGC
rnacentral:rRNA from 1 species